CAGCAGGUGAUUAAAUAUAUGGUCUUGCACUAGGUUUACUACAUUCGAUUUUUCUCUUUACACGUUGAUGCUAUUUUAUUUUUUUAUUUUUUUAUCAUUUUGAACAUCCAUCAAAUAAAUCCUCUAUGGUUGUUGGUAUCACGACUAAGUGUUGUGAUGGCAAUGAACUACAAACUGCAAAAUAUUUAUGUAAGUGAAUAUCUGAAGUGCUGCAAAUGAUUCCCAGUAGUUCUUUUGAAUGGCACCAUAUGCUUUCCCAUUUCA